rnacentral:rRNA from 1 species
CGUGGGUAACCUGCCUUAUAGUGGGGGAUAGCCUUUCGAAAGGAAGAUUAAUACCGCAUAAGAUUGUAGUAUCGCAUGAUAUAGCAAUUAAAGGAGCAAUUCGCUAUAAGAUGGACCCGCGUCGCAUUAGCUAGUUGGUGAGAUAAUGGCUCACCAAGGCGACGAUGCGUAGCCGACCUGAGAGGGUGAACGGCCACAUUGGGACUGAGACACGGCCCAGACUCCUACGGGAGGCAGCAUG